AACUUUCAACAACGGAUCUCUUGGUUCUCGCAUCGAUGAAGAACGCAGCGAAAUGCGAUAAGUAAUAUGAAUUGCAGAUAUUCGUGAAUCAUCGAAUCUUUGAACGCACAUUGCGCCCUUUGGUAUUCCAAAGGGCAUGCCUGUUUGAGCGU
rnacentral:rRNA from 1 species